CAGUAGCCGCGGUAAAACGGAGGGUGCAAGCGUUAAUCGGAAUCACUGGGCGUAAAGCGUGCGUAGGCGGUUCGUUAAGUCUGUUGUGAAAGCCCCGGGCUCAACCUGGGAAUGGCAAUGGAUACUGGCGAGCUAGAGUGUGUCAGAGGAUGGUGGAAUUCCCGGUGUAGCGGUGAAAUGCGUAGAGAUCGGGAGGAACAUCAGUGGCGGAGGCGGCCAUCUGGGACAACACUGACGCUGAGGCACGAAAGCGUGGGGAGCAAACAGGAUUAGAUACCCGUGUAGUCCCUGUCUCUUAUAC
rnacentral:rRNA from 1 species